AAGCAGCAAGAAUGUUCACACCAGGUGCUACUAUAUCAGGUUUAAGAAUUUCAAGUGUUAGAAAAUUAGGCCCUCUUGAUGAAAAAGCAGCUACUAUAGGUGAUGGUUUAAUUCCUAAUCUUGUGUUUAGAAAAGCUAAUGUUGCAGAUGCUUUUUUAUUUGUUAACACAUAUUGUUUGAUUUCUUUGCCUUCUUUUUCUCCUACUGCUACUGCUGGAAGUAGGUGACAAUCUGCUACAAGUUCUUCACCAUUUGCUGCAGUGUUUGUGAGAAUCAUUCCUACUCCUCCUGCAUUUUUCACUACCUGACCCUUUUGCACUCUAGGACUAAUUCCUCUAUCACAAAUCACAAUCUUUCCGGUGACGACUCUACGAUCUAAAGUACCUUCCAAGCACAAAGAUCUUGGAUCAGGACUACUUGAGUUACCUCCCAUGUAUACCAAAGGGUAUUGUUUUCUAGUUGAGAGCAUGCUUUUUCCUUUAUAGAGUGAUGUUCCUAUUAUUUUUCUUCCAUUGCCAAGGCUAACAUCUGCAGGAAAAUCUCUGUCCAUUGUACUAGCUCCAACUGUGGUGAUCCAUGGUGACACAUUUGUUAGGCUGACAGGGUCAGGUCCUGAAUUUCCAGCUGAGCAUGAAACAAA
rnacentral:lncRNA from 1 species